UAAACCGUGGGCGGUCGUAGUGU
rnacentral:siRNA from 1 species